CGGUGCUUGCCUCACCUGACACCGAGUGACCGGAUGGACAGGAUCCGAUCAUUUGUGGGGUAGUCCGCCGAUCCGAUUCACCUACGGAAGGGCGGGCCCGGCCCCGUCACCGGAGGU
rfam:Streptomyces sp. SirexAA-E, complete genome.